GGUAAAAGAUUAAUCGCCUAGAGAGGGGCUUGCGUCUGAUUAGCUAGUUGGUGAGGUAAGAGCCCACCAAGGCGACGAUCAGUAGCUGGUCUGAGAGGAUGAUCAGCCACACUGGGACUGAGACACGGCCCAGACUCCUACGGGAGGCAGCAGUGGGGAAUUUUCCGCAAUGGGCGAAAGCCUGACGGAGCAAGACCGCGUGGGGGAGGAAGGUUCUUGGAUUGUCAACCCCUUUUCUCAGGGAAGAACGCAAUGACGGUACCUGAGGAAAAAGCAUCGGCUAACUCCGUGCCAGCAGCCGCGGUAAUACGGGGGAUGCAAGCGUUAUCCGGAAUGAUUGGGCGUAAAGAGUCCGUAGGUAGUCAUCCAAGUCUGCUGUUAAAGAGCGAGGCUUAACCUCGUAAAGGCAGUGGAAACUGGAAGACUAGAGUGUAGUAGGGGCAGAGGGAAUUCCUGGUGUAGCGGUGAAAUGCGUAGAGAUCAGGAAGAACACCGGUGG
rnacentral:rRNA from 1 species